GCUCUAUUCUAUCUCAUCUGGUUCCGAAGUUAUACGCAAAAAUGUGCAAAAUAUAAAUUGCUGAUUCAGCACAACGUGCGACGUCAUUGGUAGGGUAAGUAUGUUUAAUGAAUAGUAAACUGAAGCAUAGCUCAGUUAUUAUUGGCUCAAAUCAAAUGACAUUUUGCAUACAGAUAGUACAUGAUGAGACGCAUGGGAAAA